UAUGACACAGAGCGAGCAGUUCCACGGUCUCCUCCGCUGUUUCUCUUUUUUACGCUUCCCUCUUGGCUGCUCGCACCCUCUCCAUCCUUUUUCUCCUUUUUGGUUUCCAUUGUUAGAGUCCUCGCUGCAUUUGUAUUUUCCUCCCUGCCAUGUGCUGGCCAGACGGUUUGGAUGCGCUUUUUUCCCCAUACAAGGGGUCAUGAGCCUGCCUCUGCCUGUCGACGGAUCGUAGAGCUUGGUUUGCUCCCUACAAGGCCUUCUUCCUCGCUUCUGCACAUUGCGUCGGCGCGGUCCUCCCCGCUCGGCCGUCGGUUUCGUCGUCGCUGCAGGUGCGCCCCGUUCUUUUUUCGUUUUCCUCCGCGCGAGCCUUCCAUUUGUCGUCUUCGUCUUGGUCUGCGCAGGUGCUCUCGCUGCGGAUGUUGCCUCGCCGGACGUCGCCAUGGUUGGCCCCGGCCGGUUGCCGGUCGACCGGCUGGUUUGCCCGCGGGGGAUGGGCCAGAUAGACUAGCUUCGCACGGCGCGGUCGAGGCGUCGGUUGCGGCCGGUGCCAUCAGCGCCGAUGACGACACCGUCUUCUGUUGGGGGCUCGGCCGGCGGAGCUCGCUGCGCCAUCUUGGUGCCGGCCUGCUCGCUUGUCCUGAGAAUCUCCCAUUCGAGAAAAAUGCCGUUCCUUCGUUUUAAAGAGCAAUCAUCUGUUUGUAUAUCAGGGUAUCUGUAUAUCUGUCCAAGCAUGCCUGCAGUUUCUUUGUCAAAAAAGGUUUUAUUCGAUUUCAUGCAGUUACAUCAAAGAUGUGGUAUCAGUUUGUACUGGACGAACCGUUGUAUAUGGUGUUAGAUAAUCUUUUUUCCCACAAGAAAGCACUCGCUGGUUGUCGUUACCAUGGAUCAUCUUCUGUCAAGCGGCUGCCUAAAGGCAGUGGAUAAAACAUUUGCAUCCUUUUCAUCACCGCGCGGCGCGGCGGCCGGUGGAUUUAUUACUGAGUUUGAUGAUGUUUAUUCAGAUAUUAUGGAUAGUAAGAUGUUACGAGGUGAUCAGCCUGAUCAGAAAGAGUCCUGUUUACAAAGUAGCUAUGUAUGUCGCACCUCCCGCUUCAUUUAUCUGUUAAUGACCGAAAGACUGGGAUGACAGGGAAUGUAUUCAAGAUCCUGGUGAAGUUAAACUAGAGGGCGACAACUCUGUUCCAAAAGAGAUUUCUGAUCCAAAGGAGUAAAAGCUCAUGGGAGGGCGUGCAAUGGAUCUUCCUCAAUUCGGCCUGUUCGCCUCACCAUACCAACGUUGCUGUCCUCUUCGCUGAAUGCAUAUAACGAAUGCUGCCGAUCAGUCUUGUAUUCACAGUUUAGGUUUUCCUCGACAAUUCAAGAGAAUGCAGGAUUGUAUUAUUAGUGCUGUCGAUUUUAUGUGUAAUGGAUUUAUUUUACAUAAUAUAUAUACGUUAUAUGACCAUUCUGAUUAUUGUUUUAU